UUUAUUCCAUUCAGAAGUUCACUGCUCUUACGAAAGCCUUAAAUUUGUGUGCUUGAGGGUCGAAAUAAUGUUUAAGAAUAUGAACACUGAUUGCACACGUUUCUAGCAUAUAAGUUCAUGGUUCCUCGUCACUGGUUGAAUGAGACACCGAGGCAUACACUGAUAUUCUUUAUUAACCAACCUUCAGCUAGGAGAGGUUAGGUAAAGUCAGUAAUAUAUAUAGAGAGAGAUGCUUACGGUGGUAUAUUUGUUCAUCUUUGCUCGCUUUUGUUCUUUUUCUCACCAUCUGCGGCGCCAUCACGAGAGAGAGAGAGAGAGAGAGAGAGAGAGAGAGAGAGAGAGAGAGAGAGAGAGAGAGAGAGAGAGAGAGAGAGAGAGGGGGGGGGGGUAGGCCUAUGUUAUAAUCGAUGCUUUCUCUAUCUUCAUAUUUUUUAUCUACUUGCUUUUUCAACACAAACUCGUGAUUAUGGAGAAAGUUUUCGAAAUGUGGCGAUGAUCAGUUAGUGGAGGAGGAGGAGGAAGAGGAAGAGGAGGAGGAGGAGAUCAAGGAAAGAGGAAUUGGAGGAUGAGAAGACAAAGAACAAGAAGGAGGAGGAGGAAAAGGAGGAGAAAAACAGAUAAGAAAAAGGAAAAGAAAGAGAAGAGAGGAAAGGAAAAAAAUUGAGAAGGAAAAAAAGAAAAAAACGAAAAAAAAAACACAGAAGAGGAAGAGGAAGAACAGACGAAAGAAAGAGGAAAGAAAACAAAUAAAAAAACAAAACAAACAACAAACAAACAAACAAACACUAACUGACCUCUUCGAAAAUUCUCACCUCGUGCCCAGAAACACAAAGUGCGACAAAAAUUUUUACGCGACUUAUAUCCCAGCUGUACCCUUACCUUAACUUACCCUUCCUUUCUUGCCUCCCCUUACCUUGCCUUACCUUGUCUUACCCUACAGUCUGGGCAGGGAGGCGUUAUCAACAGGCAUGGGGUAAGAGAGGAGGUGAAAUGGGGGUAAAGAGGAAGAGGAAGAGGUGGAGAGAAGGGAGGAUUUUCGCAAACGUGGUCUCUUGAAAUUUUCCUCUUACUCUUUGUUUUUCUGAUUUAAGAAGAGGAGGAGGAGGAAGAGGAAGAGGAGAGAGGAGGAAGUUUAAAUGUGGUGACCUCUUUAAUUUCUCCUCUUCCUCCUCCUCUUCCUCCUCCUCCUCCUCUUCCUCCUCCUCUUCCUUUAGUCAUAUAAUAAGGAGGAAGAGAAGGAAGAAAGGAAGUCACUGUAUCAACGUGCCUUCCUCUUCCUCUUCCUCCUCCUCCUUCCUCUUCCUCUUCCUCCUCCUCCUUCCUCUUCCUCCUAUUCUUUCAGACGUAAAAAAGGAGGAAGAGGAGGUAUGAAGGAAGUUACCGUAUCAACGAGUCUUCCUCCUCUUCCUCUUCCUCCUCCUCCUCUUCUUCCUCCUCUUCCUCUUGCUCUUCCUCUUCUGGGCACCAUUUUGUUCCUCAUUCAUUCAUAUACACCAAAAAAAAAAAAAAAAUCACUUAAGCGUUUCAUGUUACAAAGGCUACACACGUAUUAUAUAAUAUACUUGUUAUUAUCAUCAUCAUUAUUAUUAUUAUUACUGUUAUAUCAUUAUCACUAGUAUGUACAUAGUUAUAAUCUUCUCUUUGAUUUACAGCGUGGUAUUACAGCGACGAUAAACUUAUAUUCUUCUUUCUCUCUCUAAGAUAUAUAUAUAUAUAUACUGUAUUUGUAAAACUUCCACAAUAAUAUAUAGAUUCACGGUUAGCGCUAUCAUAAUAUACGUUUUUUUAAGUAUUUUACAGACUGGAGGGUUCGGCCAAUGAUAUUUACACCGUAGAAAUUUACACCCUAUUAUUAUUAUUAUUACCGUUAUUAUUAUUAUUUUUUAUUGUUUUUUUUCGAAAGGUUUAUGGUAAAAAAUUAAACUUUCUCGGUGGGGGUGGAGGGAGGGAGGGCUGGGGUGGGGGGGGGAGAGGGAGAAGGAGAGCAAUUUUGACCCUUAAGCAACCCUUGGCGAAAGAAGCGAAUUGAAAAACAACACCCAACUCUACGACAACGAGAGAAUAUAGGAGACAGAUAGACAGAGAGCGAUCAAAACUCAGCCUUACUGCGGCGGUGCUUAAGGGCCAAGAUCGUGUGAGCGUGGACAACCCGGUAGGGAAGUGGGAGGGGGGGGGGUGACGGGGUUCUAGGAGACCAAGAGGGGGGGGAGGGGGGGUAAGGUAAAUCGCAAAGACUAGCAAAACAUGACUAACUAAUACGAAGGAAAACACAGACGGGCCACUAACACCCUCAUCUUCUCAUUUACCUUCGCUUCUAACUCACUUUUCAACGUUAUCUUUUAGCUGAUUUCCUUUUUGUCCAUCUUUGGAGGCCUCCGGAGUGCUGCCGAGGCCUGCCCCAGCGUGUGUCGGCGCCCCGGGGCCAAGCGAUACCAAGUCAGGUCAAUCAAGGUCAAGCUAGGUCAAUCUUGUGCAAGCCAGAUAAAACUAUGUCCAUUUGAAUCUAUAUCGGUCAACCCAAUUCAAGCUAGGUCAAUCUUGGGCAAGCCAGAUCAAACUAUGUUCAUUUGAAUCUAUCUAGGUCAACCUAAGUCAAGCUUGGUUGAUCCGGGAUAAGCCAGAACAAACUAGGUCCAUUUGAGUCAAUCCAGGACACUCUAAAGUCAAGCUAGGUUGAUUCGGGGCAAGCCAGAUCAAGCCUCGUCAAUUAAGUCAAUCCGAGUCAAUCUAGACUAAGCCAGUUGACUGCAGAUCAGAAUAAAUCAAUCACUAAUAUAAUCUGAUUCGGGUAAGUCGGUAAAGAUUCGUUUUAGUACCGUGCCAGUAUCUCAUUAUCUACUUAAUGAAACAUCACUAUCUCUUCAUAUAUCUUUUCUACAAACCUUCAACAGUCAUGGAAAUGCUUUGAAAAUCCAAUUCAAGGACUCUUUUUUUUACUCUUGUAAAUAGGGGAUAAUGUUUACGAAAGCGCGUCGCCUCCUCUGGCGGCGGCCGCGGCGACGCUGCAGCCGCCGCAGCCGUAAAAUAGCUCGCAGAGGGUUUAGGGUCGGGGAGCAUAUUUAAACUACUCCAACCGAACUUUACGACCUACUAACGGGGGUGGCUGCGCCCCCCUCGACCGCCCCCCCCACAUGUAUAUGUGACUUAUUUCAGCGAGGAGGUAUUUCUCGCAACACCGGCUGCAGCGUCCCUAUUUUCAAGAGUAAAAAAAAAAAUUUCCUUGAAUUGGAUUUUCAAAGCGUUUCCAUGACUGUUGAAGGUUUGUAGAAGAGAUAUAUGAAGAGCUACUGAUGUUUCAUAAAGUAGAUAAUGAGAUACUGGCACGGUACCAAAACGAAUCUUAACCGGUAAGUCCUUUUGUCAGUGAAGGUAAUUUUACAACACCCUUCAGGAACUUUGAGGAAUUCGGAUCACGGCGACGUCUCGGCUACACAAGGAAACUUAAGGAUUUUCUUUUUAUUUCACUGUUCUAACACUCUUGGAUCCUCUCUCGAUUCCUCACCAACAAAUAUACGGGGUCGUUUUCACUGCUAACACUUUGACUUAUCUUUCGCAUCGUCAAAG